GACGAACGCUGGCGGCGUGCCUAAUACAUGCAAGUAGAACGCUGAAGGAGGAGCUUGCUCUUCUGGAUGAGUUGCGAACGGGUGAGUAACGCGUAGGUAACCUGCCUGGUAGCGGGGGAUAACUAUUGGAAACGAUAGCUAAUACCGCAUAACAGUAGAUGUUGCAUGACAUUUACUAAAAAGGUGCAAUUGCAUCACUACCAGAUGGACCUGCGUUGUAUUAGCUAGUUGGUGGGGUAACGGCUCACCAAGGCGACGAUACAUAGCCGACCUGAGAGGGUGAUCGGCCACACUGGGACUGAGACACGGCCCAGACUCCUACGGGAGGCAGCAGUAGGGAAUCUUCGGCAAUGGACGGAAGUCUGACCGAGCAACGCCGCGUGAGUGAAGAAGGUUUUCGGAUCGUAAAGCUCUGUUGUAAGAGAAGAACGAGUGUGAGAGUGGAAAGUUCACACUGUGACGGUAUCUUACCAGAAAGGGACGGCUAACUACGUG
rnacentral:rRNA from 1 species